AUGCUUAACACAUGCAAGUCGAACGCGAAAGUAGCCUUCGGGCUGCGAGUAGAGUGGCAAACGGGUGAGUAACGCGUGGGUGACCUACCUUCGAGUGGGGGAUAACGUUUCGAAAGGAACGCUAAUACCGCAUAACAUCCUGCCUUUGGAAAGGUGGUGAUCAAAGCCGGGGAUCGCAAGACCUGGCGCUUGAUGAGGGGCCCGCGUCCGAUUAGCUUGUUGGCGGGGUAACGGCCCACCAAGGCGACAAUCGGUAGCCGGCCUGAGAGGGCGGACGGCCACACUGGGACUGAGACACGGCCCAGACUCCUACGGGAGGCAGCAGUGGGGAAUUGUUCGCAAUGGGCGAAAGCCUGACGACGCAACGCCGCGUGGAGGACGAAAACCUUCGGGUCGUAAACUCCAGUCGAGCGGGACGAAUACCACCUGGGUUAAUACCCCGGGUGGCUGACGGUACCGUUAAAGGAAGCCCCGGCUAACUCCGUGCCAGCAGCCGCGGUAAUACGGGGGGGGCAAGCGUUAUUCGGAUUUACUGGGCGUAAAGAGCUCGUAGGCGGCUUGUUUAGUCGGACGUGAAAUCCCUCGGCUCAACUGAGGAACUGCGUCCGAUACUGGCAGGCUUGAAUCCGGGAGGGGGAUGCGGAAUUCCAGGUGUAGCGGUGAAAUGCGUAGAUAUCGGAAGGAACACCAGUGG
rnacentral:rRNA from 1 species